UGGGGAAUUUUGGACAAUGGGCGAAAGCCUGAUCCAGCAAUGCCGCGUGUGUGAAGAAGGCCUUCGGGUUGUAAAGCACUUUUGUCCGGAAAGAAAUCCUUGGCUCUAAUACAGUCGGGGGAUGACGGUACCGGAAGAAUAAGCACCGGCUAACUACGUGCCAGCAGCCGCGGUAAUACGUAGGGUGCAAGCGUUAAUCGGAAUUACUGGGCGUAAAGCGUGCGCAGGCGGUUUGCUAAGACCGAUGUGAAAUCCCCGGGCUCAACCUGGGAACUGCAUUGGUGACUGGCAGGCUAGAGUAUGGCAGAGGGGGGUAGAAUUCCACGUGUAGCAGUGAAAUGCGUAGAGAUGUGGAGGAAUACCGAUGGCGAAGGCAGCCCCCUGGGCCAAUACUGACGCUCAUGCACGAAAGCGUGGGGAGCAAACAGGAUUAGAUACCCUGGUAGUCCACGCCCUAAACGAUGUCAACUAGUUGUUGGGGAUUCAUUUCCUAGUAACGUAGCUAACGCGUGAAGUUGACCGCCUGGGGAGUACGGUCGCAAGAUUAAAACUCAAAUGAAUUGACGGGGUCAU
rnacentral:rRNA from 1 species